rnacentral:rRNA from 1 species
UACGGAGGGUGCAAACGUUGCUCGGAAUCAUUGGGCGUAAAGCGCACGUAGGCGGCGGCGUAAGCGGGAUGUGAAAGCCCAGGGCUCAACCCUGGAAGUGCAUCCUGAACUGUGUCGCUUGAAUCUCGGAGGGGGACAGAGAAUUCCCGGUGUAGAGGUGAAAUUCGUAGAUAUCGGGAGGAAUACCAGUGGCGAAGGCGCUGUCCUGGACGAAGAUUGACGCUGAGGUGCGAAAGCGUGGGGAGCAAACAGG